rnacentral:rRNA from 1 species
GUGCCAGCCGCCGCGGUAAUACCGGCAGCCCAAGUGAUGGCCGAUCUUAUUGGGCCUAAAGCGUCCGUAGCUGGCCGCGCAAGUCCAUCGGAAAAUCCACCCGCCCAACAGGUGGGCGCCCGGUGGAAACUGUGCGGCUUGGGACCGGAAGGCGCGACGGGUACGUCCGGGGUAGGAGUGAAAUCCCGUAAUCCUGGACGGACCGCCGAUGGCGAAAGCACGUCGCGAGAACGGAUCCGACUGUGAGGGACGAAAGCCAGGGUCUCGAACCGGAUUAGAAACCCCAGUAGUCC